rnacentral:lncRNA from 1 species
AGGAUCCGCCGCAGGGAGUGGAGCAGAAUCAUGGCCGUUAAUACGGUCUGUCAGGGAGUAAUGGAGCUGCGUAGGGUUCGCCGUAGGGAGUGGAGCAGUGUUGUCCGUUACUGUGGCCUGCCAGGGGGUCCAGAUUGGUCGGUCAAAGUUCGGUUAGAGUCGGUAGCGAGGUUCGGUGCUUGUAGAAGUUUGGACGAGGUCU